GUACUCAUCUGAAUACUACAUAUACUAAAAUUGGAAAUGAUACAGAGGUUAGGCUGGUCCCUGUACAAGGAUGAUAUGAAAAUUCAUGAAGUGUUUCGUUUUUAA